AUAGUACACAUAAUUACUUCUAUAGUAAUGGUGAAAUAGGUUGCUGUGAAGGAAAUGAAUUCUUUAAUGGCUUCUGAAUUUGGAUAACAUAAUUUAUUAUAUAUUGAUUUUGAUUUAUUGAGAGCUGCUUGGUACAUGGAUAACAAAGGAACCUCUCACUGUGUGUGUGUAAGCAUGCUGGGUCCCACUUUGAAUUUCUUAAAACAUGCUGAUGCAGUAUUGGCUCUUUCUGACAUGUCUCAGAACUCUUUUUUUUCUAUUAUGCUGACA
rnacentral:misc_RNA from 1 species